GACGAACGCUGGCGGCGUGCUUAACACAUGCAAGUCGAACGGAAAGGCCCUGCUUUUGUGGGGUGCUCGAGUGGCGAACGGGUGAGUAACACGUGAGUAACCUGCCCUUGACUUUGGGAUAACUUCAGGAAACUGGGGCUAAUACCGGAUAGGAGCUCCUGCUGCAUGGUGGGGGUUGGAAAGUUUCGGCGGUUGGGGAUGGACUCGCGGCUUAUCAGCUUGUUGGUGGGGUAGUGGCUUACCAAGGCUUUGACGGGUAGCCGGCCUGAGAGGGUGACCGGCCACAUUGGGACUGAGAUACGGCCCAGACUCCUACGGGAGGCAGCAGUGGGGAAUAUUGCACAAAGGGCGGAAGCCUGAUGCAGCAACGCCGCGUGCGGGAUGACGGCCUUCGGGUUGUAAACCGCUUUCGCCUGUGACGAAGCGUGAGUGACGGUACUGGGUAAAGAAGCACCGGCUAACUACGU
rnacentral:rRNA from 1 species